UACAGAGGUCCCGAGCGUUAGGCGGAAUCACUGGGCUUAAAGCGUGUGUAGGCGGAUUUGUAAGUACCUUGUGAAAUCCCACAGCUCAACUGUGGAACUGCUUGGUAUACUGCUUAUCUUGGGCCAUCUAGGGGCUAGCGGAACAAACGGUGGAGCGGUGAAAUGCGUAGAUAUCGUUUGGAACGCCAAUGGUGAAAACAGCUAGCUGGGGAUGUGCCGACGCUGAGACACGAAAGCCAGGGGAGCGAACGGG
rnacentral:rRNA from 1 species